rnacentral:rRNA from 1 species
UACGUAGGGUGCAAGCGUUGUCCGGAAUUAUUGGGCGUAAAGAGCUCGUAGGCGGUCUGUCGCGUCGGCUGUGAAAUCCCGGAGCUCAACUCCGGGCCUGCAGUCGAUACGGGCAGACUGGAGUUCGGCAGGGGAGACUGGAAUUCCUGGUGUAGCGGUGAAAUGCGCAGAUAUCAGGAGGAACACCGGUGGCGAAGGCGGGUCUCUGGGCCGAUACUGACGCUGAGGAGCGAAAGCAUGGGGAGCGAACAGG